rnacentral:rRNA from 1 species
UACGGAGGGUGCAAGCGUUAUCCGGAUUCACUGGGUUUAAAGGGUGCGUAGGUGGGCAGGUAAGUCAGUGGUGAAAUCUCCGGGCUUAACCCGGAAACUGCCAUUGAUACUAUCUGUCUUGAAUACCCUGGAGGUGAGCGGAAUAUGUCAUGUAGCGGUGAAAUGCUUAGAUAUGACAUAGAACACCCAUUGCGAAGGCAGCUCACUGCGGGAAUAUUGACACUGAGGCACGAAAGCGUGGGGAUCAAACAGG